UUGGCUAUCACAUGAGCUCAGGUGUGCAGAACAUGAGCAGCCCCCCUUGAGCCUCGCUUGCUUCCAGGAGCUGAAGGGAUUUGUGCCAGAAAAGGAGAAGCUGGACCUGCAGGGACUUUCUCUUGCUCCUUUUUGUCACUCAGCCUGUAAGUAGCACUUCUAUGGCCAGAUGAACAAGUGCCGAAAGAGACAGGCUUCUAGCUCCCAGGAUAAACCUCUCCUUUGUCCUUUAUGCUCAGGGAGCUCAGAACUGUAGCUGAAACUUUCAGUAAGGCCAGCCUAAGGUGUGAGGCAUGCCACACACCCACAGAGCUUCCGGGUGAGCCUUAGGACUUCCUCCACUGUGGAUGUCACCAUGAAGGUGGCGUCAUGCUGAGAGCUGAUGCUCUGUGCGGCACCUGGAGUUGGAGGAGGAAGAGCAGAGUCCAGGGAAGAAGGUACCCAGCAUUUAGGCACGGGAGUUUCCAGCCUCUUUCACAUCCCUGGGCACUGGCUAUGCUGGGGCCUGCACCAAGCCGGGAGAGGUCACCUGAGGCCUUUGCAGUGGAGUUCCAGCAGUCCAGAAGGAAAAAACAUCCAGAAAUCAAUCAGGGAGCAUUAACAGACUGUGCUUGUUAACCACCUAACACACAGUAUCUAUCCAAACUGGAAUUGCUGGAUCACAUGGAGAUUCUGAGGGACGUCUGUACUGUUUCCUGUUUCCCAUCCCUACCAGCGAUGCAGCAUCACAUCAUGCAGUAGUGCCUGGUUAUUCCUCUGACAAACAGCAGGACACAGAGGUGGCCCUGCUUGUUGAGAUCACAAGGUUGGGAAGGCUCUGUACAAGCACACACUAAUGGAUGGCUAUGUAAUCGCGGUUAUUUAAGAAUAAAAUACAAUUUCUUUG
rnacentral:lncRNA from 1 species